UAGCAUAUCAWUAAGCGGAGGAAAAGAAACCAACCGGGAUUGCCCUAGUAACGGCGAGUGAAGCGGCAAGAGCUCAAAUUUGAAAGCUGGCUCCUUCGGGGUCCGCAUUGUAAUUUGCAGAGGAUGCUUCGGGAGCGGUCCCCAUCUAAGUGCCCUGGAACGGGCCGUCAUAGAGGGUGAGAAUCCCGUAUGGGAUGGGGUGCCCGCGCCCGUGUGAAGCUCCUUCGACGAGUCGAGUUGUUUGGGAAUGCAGCUCUAAUUGGGUGGUAAAUUUCAUCUAAAGCUAAAUAUUGGCCGGAGACCGAUAGCGCACAAGUAGAGUGAUCGAAAGAUGAAAAGCACUUUGAAAAGAGAGUUAAACAGCACGUGAAAUUGUUGAAAGGGAAGCGCUUGCGAUCAGACUCGCUCGCGGGGUUCAGCCGGCCUUCGGGCCGGUGUACUUCCCCGCGGGCGGGCCAGCGUCGGUUUGGGCGGCCGGUCAAAGGCCCCUGGAAUGUAACGCCUCUCGGGGCGUCUUAUAGCCAGGGGUGCCAUGCGGCCUGCCCGGACCGAGGAACGCGCUUCGGCUCGGACGCUGGCAUAAUGGUCGUAAGCGACCCGUCUUGAAACACGGACCAAGGAGUCUAACAUCUACGCGAGUGUUCGGGUGUCAAACCCGUGCGCGCAGUGAAAGCGAACGGAGGUGGGAACCCCUCGGGGUGCACCAUCGACCGAUCCUGAUGUCUUCGGAUGGAUUUGAGUAAGAGCGUAGCUGUUGGGACCCGAAAGAUGGUGAACUAUGCCUGAAUAGGGCGAAGCCAGAGGAAACUCUGGUGGAGGCUCGCAGCGGUUCUGACGUGCAAAUCGAUCGUCAAAUUUGGGUAUAGGGGCGAAAGACUAAUCGAACCAUCUAGUAGCUGGUUCCUGCC
rnacentral:rRNA from 1 species